GAAACCGAAACCCCCUUUGCGAGAUUCGCUGCAUCUAUACCUGAUUUGCGUUCAAAAAUGCCUGCUUAAUUAUUUCAUAGUAAGAGCAAACAUGCCUUAAGAAAAGGAGUAGGUUUGAAACUUUAGUAACCAUAAAAAGUACGCCAGGUGGAUGCCUUUCUACUCCAGGAAGCCGCAGCCUACGGCCUGAAGGAGGAAGAGGACGCGGUCAGUUUGAAAUAGCUGAAUCGAUGACAUCCUGAAAGCAGCAAUACAAUUAAGCUGGGCCAGUUCUUCAGAUGAUCAGAGGGACUUCGCCAUCAUCACAUCCCUCAUUGCUGCAGUCAGACUGAAACAGGACGGUGAUGCAUGGCAGUCCAUGCCCGAGAUACGGAUGAUGAAGAGACCACAGCAACAUCUGGUCCAGAUGAGGACACAAGGGCAUGUGGACUGAUGCAGGGUCUCGUUCAGUUCACUACAGGAGAACAGGAGUGGCUAAACUCAGUCUAGAACUGCUGCUGUCUUGCAGAGUUUAGUUGAAGUUGACUCUAAACUCUGCAGGACACCAGCUGUCCAGAACUGAGUUUGGGCACCCCUGCAUUACAGCAUUUCCAAGAUGCUGCUGCAUGUGGACUUCUUUACCCUCACCACACACACCAAUCUGCAGAUAUUUCAGAUCAAACAAAACAUAAAAAACAUUCAAAAAACAAUGUCAUUUUACUGUACAAUGUGUCAUUUGAUUUCUGUAGAGCUAGUAAUAAAAUUAUCCUACCUCU
rnacentral:lncRNA from 1 species